rnacentral:lncRNA from 1 species
CCUUCCCAUGCCUCUCAGUGAUACUAAAAUAGCACGGAGAGAAAUUCCGGCUGCCUCAUCGGAACUCCAGCUCCACAUCAGCAAAGCUGGGGAAGGGGAGCAUCUGGGUCCCUGUGUGGGAAGUGUGGGUGCUGGUGGCUGCAGGCACAGUGCCAGCUGCAGACUCUCCGGCCCAGGAUGGAGGCUGAGAGUCCCGCUUCUCGUCCACAAGUGUGCAAGGGAGCGUGUGCACGCAGCCUUUCCGAUCAUCACAGGGACAAGCUCAAGAUGCUGGAUCCAGGUUGUUCACCCAAACCGAGCGCCAGUUACAUCCUCAGGCUCGUUUCUCAGCCUCCCUCCCUCAGGAGCAGUCACAUCACAUGACAUUGUGUAGCUUACAGACCAUCUUCAAUCAAUUCUCCUUAACGAAUCAUUUUGCCUGAUUCUUCUGGAAGCCUCAGCUGCCAUAGACAGUUCUUUUAUUGUUUGGUAACCCCAUGGGUAGCAAUAAAGUUGAGAUGAAAACACAUU